rnacentral:rRNA from 1 species
UACAUAGGUCCCAAGCGUUGUUCGGAUUCAUUGGGCGUAAAGGGCGCGUAGGCGGCGCGGUAAGUCGGGUGUGAAAUCUCGGAGCUUAACUCCGAAACUGCAUUCGAUACUGCCGUGCUUGAGGACUGGAGAGGAGACUGGAAUUUACGGUGUAGCAGUGAAAUGCGUAGAGAUCAUGAGGAAGACCAGUGGCGAAGGCGGGUCUCUGGACAGUUCCUGACACUGAGACACGAAGGCCAGGGGAGCAAACGGG